CAAAGAUAUACGCUGAAUCCAUAAAUGUGGAGCGGGAGAACCAUUUUUGGGGUGAAUCCGAGCAAAGCUUGGUAGGGUUAGCUUUCGACCCGAAUCCGUCAGCUAAUCUCGCAAGCGUUGAAAGAGAAGGUUA
rnacentral:sRNA from 2 species